AAGUCGUAACAAGGUUUCCGUAGGUGAACCUGCGGAAGGAUCAUUAAUGUAACCGGACUGUUUGGGUGCCGUAAAACGCAUCUGUUCAGAAAGGGAGAUAUCAUACACCCUAUGUUUAUUUACUUUUGUUGCUUUGGCGGGCUGUCCUUUUAGGCGUCGGCCCCGGUUGAUCGCGCCCGCCAGAGGACCCAAACUCUUCUAUCAGUGAUGUCUGAGUACUAUAUAAUAGUUAAAA
rnacentral:misc_RNA from 1 species